CAAUAGCGUAUAUUAAAGUUGUUGCAGUUAAAAAGCUCGUAGUUGGAUUUCUGGUUUGAGCGUCGGGUCCGGUUCUUACGAAUCGCGAACUAUGACUGCUUGAUCCAUUUUUUGUGAGGAUGCCUUUCUGCCAUUAAGUUGGUGGUUGGGUGGACUUGCAUCGUUUACUGUGAAAAAUUAGAGUGUUUAAAGCAGGCGUUUGCUCAUUUGAAUACAUUAGCAUGGAAUAAUAAGAUACGACCUUGGUGGUCUAUUUUGUUGGUUUGCACACCAGGGUAAUGAUUAAUAGGGACAGUUGGGGGUAUUCAUAUUUCAGCGUCAGAGGUGAAAUUCUUGGAUCGCUGAAAGAUGAGCUUAGGCGAAAGCAUUUAUCAAGGAUGUUUUCAUUAAUCAAGAACGAAAGUUAGGGGAUCGAAGACGAUUAGAUACCGU
rnacentral:rRNA from 1 species